CACGUAGGGUGCGAGCGUUGUCCGGAAUUAUUGGGCGUAAAGAGCUCGUAGGCGGUGUGUCGCGUCGGCCGUGAAAACCUGCAGCUUAACUGUGGGCGUGCGGUCGAUACGGGCAUCACUGGAGUUCGGCAGGGGAGACUGGAAUCCUGGUGUAGCGGUGAAAUGCGCAGAUAUCAGGAGGAACACCGGUGGCGAAGGCGGUUCUCUGGGCAUUACCUGACGCUGAGGAGCGAAAGCGUGGGAGCGAACAGG
rnacentral:rRNA from 1 species